CAUAACCAAAUAAGAAAUAACAAAGAAUCCUGCUUUACUUUCCUGGACUUAAAUUUGGUGGAAAUACAUGUUCAUUUCGAUAUUUUUAUCAGUAAUUUGGGCAAGGAAUCCUUGUUUUACUUUCCAGGACCACUGCAAUUGCCUUCUUCUGCUCAGUUGAGGUAUGUGGGCUAGAAAUUUGUCACAAACAAAGAUCAUUUGCAUUGUUGUGGUGACAAGCCUAGAGGUAAUCCUUCAUGAACAAAGAUAAGAGCUGGUGAAUUUGAACAUGAAACUGGGUUUAUGAUAAUAUAGGUCUUCACCUGUGCUUUCUUAAUUUGUAAUUGAAAAGGGAGGAGGGCAUCUCCAUUAUGUUUCUACUUUCUUUGUGGGAUUGGCUUAGUCACAAAGCUUUUGUCUUUGAUCAUUUCUUUGGUUUUUGUGUAUUCUUCGUGUGACAUUCCUUUUCUAUGCCGGUUGUGAAACGUACCGUCAAGGGUUCAAUCAAAAGAGGUGAGGCUUGAUAGGGGUUUUGUGGUGGGGUUCUGCAGGGCAGCUGGUCUCCCAGGAGAUAAUGGUGCGAAUUGUGUGCAAAAUGAAAUUGUCAUAUGGCCCCCUUGCCCUCUUCAGCUUGUUUUUGGUGGAAUGGAUGGAAUGGAUGGACUGUGGUUUUUACAGAUGCCCUCCCUAGUUAUGUAGGCUUCCUUCGCAUACUUGUAUAUAAGGCGGGUUGAUGUUUGCUUCAGCUUCUACUCUAUCACUCCUUCCAAGUAUUUUUCUUGGAAGAGGUAAGAGGGCAUAAUCAGAGGGUUGUUUUUUGAAAAGCAGCAGAAUCCAUGGCUUUUAACCUGCCUUUUCGAGUACCUAAGACUCGUGCGAUUCUGUUUGAUUACAUGAUCUGACUUGUAGAAGCAGAACUAGUGGACUACAACGCUAGCCAUUAUUGUACAUACUAGUGUACGAUGGAGAAGUUUGAUUUCAUCCACCAUGUGGCUGGUUAGAAAAUGACGUUUCAGAGGUAGCUGCAUGUGAUCGACUAAAUUGCUGGAUACUAGCCCACGAACUAUGAACCAGUUGACUGCAGGUGCUUUGAAAAUUCAAUAAAUAUCAUCAGCGGCUGCUGCAAGAUGGAAGGUUAAACACUUGGAGCAUAGCUCAUAGAAUUGCGACUCGUCAGCCCCAUCAUAGAAGGUUUGAGUGACACUAUCCCAGAUUUUCUUGGCUGAUGACAGGUCUAUAAAUAAACCAAUAAGAUGAGGCUCCAUGGUUUUCAACAACCAUCCUCGUACCACUGCAUCUUCAGUGCACCACUUUGAGUAACCAGAAUUUUCUUCUUCCACUCUAGCAUUUUGCCCAGUUAAGUAGCCAAGUUUGUUCAAUCCAGCAGCGUGCAGUUCAAGCAUACGUGACCACAUUUUGAAGUUUGUCUCAUUCAAUUUAAAUCCAAAGGGUAAGGUGUUUAGGUUAGGUGUUUCAGCAGAGAUUGAUGUCUGGUUUAUGGGGAUAAUAGAAGUAUUCGUGUCAUUCAUGGUUGGUCCCUUGUUUCAAGACCAAUUCCCAGGUGAAGAUUAAUGUGGCGGCUGAAAAGUUAAAGGAAGAUUUUAGCUUUAACCUUGCUCUGAUACCAUGUUUACUUUUAAGGCUUAGGGUUGGAUGUAUCUUCUGCUUUUUAUUCUUCUCCUGUGGAGGGAUGCCUUAUAUAGGCAAAUAUAUAUGUCGGUUACAUCU